GACGAACGCUGGCGGCGUGCUUAACACAUGCAAGUCGAACGGAAAGGCCCUGCUUUUGUGGGGUGCUCGAGUGGCGAACGGGUGAGUAACACGUGAGUAACCUGCCCUUGACUUUGGGAUAACUUCAGGAAACUGGGGCUAAUACCGGAUAGGAGCUCCUGCUGCAUGGUGGGGGUUGGAAAGUUUCGGCGGUUGGGGAUGGACUCGCGGCUUAUCAGCUUGUUGGUGGGGUAGUGGCUUACCAAGGCUUUGACGGGUAGCCGGCCUGAGGGGGUGACCGGCCACAUUGGGACUGAGAUACGGCCCAGACUCCUACGGGAGGCAGCAGUGGGGAAUAUUGCACAAUGGGCGGAAGCCUGAUGCAGCAACGCCGCGUGGGGAUGACGGCCUUCGGGUUGUAAACCGCUUUCGCCUGUGACGAAGCGUGAGUGACGGUAAUGGGUAAAGAAGCACCGGCUAACUACGUG
rnacentral:rRNA from 1 species